CUUCAGGUUCCCAGUCGGCUCCAGGAGGCACAGAAUGGCUAUGGGAAGGGCCUUUGGCGUGCUGUGUCUGGUUAUUGCCCUAUAGUGUCAGAGAGAACCAAAAAGCCACCUGCUGCUGCUCCCGCCUUUAAUUUCCCAAAGAGUCACUAAGAAAACCUUAGAGUGUUCUGCAAGAGGAGAGAGCAAAACUGACUUUACCCUCGGAAGCCUUUGAAAGCUGAUGAGGGUGCCCAGUUGGAGGCACUGGGGGGCCCCUGCUGAGCUAGAAAAGCAUUUCUUCUCAGUGGAUUUCCUGGGAAGUCCGGGUUGGGCUUUGUAUUUUGAAGCACAAAUAAACUUUAUAAAAUUAACUU